rnacentral:rRNA from 1 species
CACGUAGGGCGCAAGCGUUGUCCGGAAUUAUUGGGCGUAAAGAGCUCGUAGGCGGUCUGUUGCGUCUGCUGUGAAAACUCGGGGCUUAACCCCGAGCCUGCAGUGGAUACGGGCAGACUAGAGGUAGGUAGGGGAGAAUGGAAUUCCCGGUGUAGCGGUGAAAUGCGCAGAUAUCGGGAGGAACACCGGUGGCGAAGGCGGUUCUCUGGGCCUUACCUGACGCUGAGGAGCGAAAGCGUGAGGAGCGAACAGG